rnacentral:rRNA from 1 species
CCCAGGCGCGAAAACUUUACCAUGCUGGCAACAGCGAUAAGGGGACCUCGAGUGCCAGGUUACAAAUCUGGCUGUCGUGAUGCCUAAAAAGCAUUGCAUAGCAAGGGCCGGGCAAGACCGGUGCCAGCCGCCGCGGUAACACCGGCGGCUCGAGUGGUAACCGUUAUUAUUGGGUCUAAAGGGUCUGUAGCCGGCCGGAUAAGUCUCUUGGGAAAUCCAGCAGCUCAACUGUUGGGCUUUCAGGAGAUACUGUCUGGCUCGAGGCCGGGAGAGGUGAGAGGUACUUCAGGGGUAGGGGUGAAAUCUUGUAAUCCUUGAAGGACCACCAGUGGCGAAGGCGUCUCACCAGAACGGACCUGACGGCAAGGGACGAAAGCUAGGGGCACGAACCGGAUUAGAUACCCGGGUAGUCCUAGCCGUAAACGAUACUCGCUAGGUGUCGGCCACGGUGCGACCGUUGUCGGUGCCGUAGGGAAGCCGUGAAGCGAGCCACCUGGGAAGUACGGCCGCAAGGCUGAAACUUAAAGGAAUUGGCGGGGGAGCAC